rnacentral:rRNA from 1 species
GCCUACGGGGGGCAGCAGUGGGGAAUAUUGCGCAAUGGGCGAAAGCCUGACGCAGCGACGCCGCGUGAGGGAUGAAGGUCCUCGGAUCGUAAACCUCUGUCAGCAGGGAAGAACGGUCACUGUGCUAAUCAGCAGUGAGUUGACGGUACCUGCAAAGGAAGCACCGGCUAACUCCGUGCCAGCAGCCGCGGUAAUACGGAGGGUGCGAGCGUUAAUCGGAAUUACUGGGCGUAAGGCGCUCGUAGGCGGUAUGUCAAGUCAAGGGUGAAAUCCCCGCGCUCAACGUGGGAACUGCCUUUGAAACU